rnacentral:rRNA from 1 species
GAUCCUGGCUCAGAGCGAACGUUAGCGGCGGGCCUAACACAUGCAAGUCGAACGCGAAAGGUCUUCGGACUGAGUAGAGUGGCGCACGGGUGAGUAACACGUAGGUAAUCUACCCUUUGGCGGGGGAUAACGUUCCGAAAGGAGCGCUAAUACCGCAUAAGACCACGGAGUCUCCGGACGCUGUGGGAAAAGGUGGCCUCUUCUUGAAAGCUACCACCGAAGGGUGAGCCUGCGUCCCAUCAGCUAGUUGGUAAGGUAAUGGCUUACCAAGGCGAAGACGGGUAGCUGGUUUGAGAGAAUGAUCAGCCACACUGGCACUGGAACACGGGCCAGACUCCUACGGGAGACAGCAGUGAGGAAUAUUGGGCAAUGGGCGAAAGCCUGACCCAGCCACGCCGCGUGAGUGAUGAAGGCCCUCGGGUCGUAAAGCUCUGUGGAGAGGGACGAAAACCCUGGUUUCAAAUAGGCUCCAGGCUUGACGGUACCUCUUUAGCAAGCACCGGCUAACUCUGUG